AUUGAACGCUGGCGGAGUGCUUUACACAUGCAAGUCGAACGGUAGAGGGGGCAACCCCUCGAGAGUGGCGAACGGGUGAGUAAUAUAUCGGAACGUGCCCAGUCGUGGGGGAUAACGUAGCGAAAGUUACGCUAAUACCGCAUACGAUCUAAGGAUGAAAGCGGGGGAUCGCAAGACCUCGCGCGAUUGGAGCGGCCGAUAUCCGAUUAGGUAGUUGGUGGGGUAAAGGCUCACCAAGCCAACGAUCUGUAGCUGGUCUGAGAGGACGACCAGCCACACUGGAACUGAGACACGGUCCAGACUCCUACGGGAGGCGGCAGUGGGGAAUUUUGGACAAUGGACGCAAGUCUGAUCCAGCCAUUCCGCGUGCAGGAUGAAGGCCCUCGGGUUGUAAACUGCUUUUGUACGGAACGAAAAGGUCUCUCUUAAUACGGGGGACUCAUGACGGUACCGUAAGAAUAAGCACCGGCUAACUACGUGCCAGCAGCCGCAGUAA
rnacentral:rRNA from 1 species